UUCUGGCUCAGGAUGAACGCUAGCGACAGGCUAACACAUGCAAGUCGAGGGGCAGCAUAGAAGUAGCAAUACGUUGGUGGCGACCGGCGUACGGGUGAGUAACGCGUAUGCAACCUACCUAUCAGAGGGGAAUAACCCGGCGAAAGUCGGACUAAUACCGCAUAAAACAGGGGCACCGCAUGGUGAUAUUUGUUAAAGAAAUUCGCUGAUAGAUGGGCAUGCGUUCCAUUAGGUAGUUGGUGAGGUAACGGCUCACCAAGCCGACGAUGGAUAGGGGAACUGAGAGGUUGGUCCCCCACACUGGUACUGAGACACGGACCAGACUCCUACGGGAGGCAGCAGUGAGGAAUAUUGGUCAAUGGGCGGGAGCCUGAACCAGCCAAGUCGCCGUGAAGGAAGAAGGAUCUAUGGUUCGUAAACUUCUUUUGCAGGGGAAUAAAGUGCAGGACGUGUCCUGUUUUGUAUGUACCCUGAGAAUAAGGAUCGGCUAACUCCGUGCCAGCCGCGGC
rnacentral:rRNA from 1 species